rnacentral:rRNA from 1 species
GAUCAUGGCUCAGAUUGAACGCUGGCGGCAUGCCUUACACAUGCAAGUCGAACGGCAGCGGACCUUCGGGUGCCGGCGAGUGGCGAACGGGUGAGUAAUGCAUCGGAACGUGCCAUUGAGUGGGGGAUAACGUAGCGAAAGUUGCGCUAAUACCGCAUAUUCUGUGAGCAGGAAAGCAGGGGACCGCAAGGCCUUGCGCUCUUUGAGCGGCCGAUGUCAGAUUAGCUAGUUGGUGAGGUAACGGCUUACCAAGGCGACGAUCUGUAGCGGGUCUGAGAGGAUGAUCCGCCACACUGGAACUGAGACACGGUCCAGACUCCUACGGGAGGCAGCAGUGGGGAAUUUUGGACAAUGGGGGCAACCCUGAUCCAGCCAUGCCGCGUGAGUGAAGAAGGCCUUCGGGUUGUAAAGCUCUUUCGGCCGGGAAGAAAUCGCAUGGGUUAAUACCCUGUGUGGAUGACGGUACCGGCAUAAGAAGCACCGGCUAACUACGUG